UAAUAUAACAAACUUAUAUAAAAACUCUUACUAACCAACCAAAAACUAAAAAUUAAUUAGAAUUAAACUUAUAAGAAAUAUAAUUAGAUAUAAACUAAAAAAAAUUUUAUAAAUUUAAUGUAAGUAAAGAUUUACCUCUUCUACCUUUUGUAUCAGGGCUAAUUAACAAUCAAAAAGAUAAUUUAAUAUCUCGAAAUUUAUCAAUAUAUAAAAAUUUUAUAUAAUUACCAUUUAAGAGGUAAAAUUAAUAAAUUUUUAGAUUUCAAAUAAAAUCAUAUUUUAAGUAUCUAGUUGUUAAAUAAACUAAUUUAAUUAGAUAUUGUUUUACUAUUCAAUGAAUUUAAUUCUAACUUUACACAAUAAAAACCUUUAAAAGUUAAGUAUUAAAGCAGAAUAAAUUAAAAUACCAAGUAUACCCAAAUAAAGCUAGUAGUCCUUAAUAUAAAAAUAUAUAAAAAUAUAGAAGUUUGAUAUUAGAUUUUAAAUAAAGAUUAUAUUAACAUUUAAUUAAAUUCGAAUUAGAAUAUAUAAAAUAAAAUGAUUAAAUUAAUAUACAGUUUAGAUUUAGAUUAAUAAUUAGGCAAUUAAUUAGUUUUCAACUGUUUACCAAAAACAUAGUUUAAAGAAAAAAAUUUUAAAUAAAUUCUGCUCAAUGAUAAACUUAAAUAGCUGCAGUAAAUUAACUGUACUAAGGUAGCAUAAUAAAUUGCUUUAUAAUUGAAAGCUUGAAUGAAGGAAACAAUGAAAAACAAACUUUUUAAUCUAAAAAAGUAAAAAUUAGUAUUUAAGUGAAAAAUCUUAAAUUAAAUCAAAAGACAAGAAGACCCUUUAGAACUUUACAAGCCUCACCAUCUUAACUGGAUUGUCUUGUUAAAUUGGGGAGAUUUUUAAAUAAAUAAAUCUUUAAAUAUAAUAAGAUGAUAUACUUCAAAUUAAAUUAUCCACGUAUGAACUAAAACAAGUUACCUAAGGGAUAACAGCGCAAAAUUUUUGAGAAGAUCUUAUUCACAAAAUACAUUGCGACCUCGAUGUUGGAUUAAGAAUAACUUAUAGAGAAAAAUUUAUAAGAAUUGGUCUGUUCGCCCAAGUGAGUCUUACAUGAUCUGAGUUCAGACCGGCGUAAGCCAGGUCAGUUUAUAUCUUUGAUCAUUUAAUUCUAAACUACAGUACGAAAGGAUCUAG
rnacentral:rRNA from 1 species